rnacentral:rRNA from 1 species
UUGUCUCAAAGAUUAAGCCAUGCAUGUCUCAGUACAAGCCGAAUUAAGGUGAAACCGCGAAAGGCUCAUUAAAUCAGUUAUGGUUCCUUAGAUCGUACCCACAUUUACUUGGAUAACUGUGGUAAUUCUAGAGCUAAUACAUGCAAACAGAGCUCCAACCGGAAACGGAAGGAGCGCUUUUAUUAGAUCAAAACCAAUCGGUGGCGGUCUCCGUCAUCGUACAACUUGGUGACUCUGAAUAACUUUACGCUGAUCGCACGGUCUCGCACCGGCGACGCAUCUUUCAAAUGUCUGCCUUAUCAACUGUCGAUGGUAGGUUCUGCGCCUACCAUGGUUGUAACGGGUAACGGGGAAUCAGGGUUCGAUUCCGGAGAGGGAGCCUGAGAAACGGCUACCACAUCCAAGGAAGGCAGCAGGCGCGCAAAUUACCCACUCCCGGCACGGGGAGGUAGUGACGAAAAAUAACGAUACGGGACUCAUCCGAGGCCCCGUAAUCGGAAUGAGUACACUCUAAACCCUUUAACGAGGAUCAAUUGGAGGG